UCCGUAGGUGGAUAAUUAAGUCAGAGGUGAAAGUUUGCAGCUCAACUGUAAAAUUGCCUUUGAUACUGGUUAUCUUGAAUUAUUGUGAAGUGGUUAGAAUAUGUAGUGUAGCGGUGAAAUGCAUAGAUAUUACAUAGAAUACCAAUUGCGAGGGCAGAUCACUAACAAUAUAUUGACACUGAUGGACGAAAGCGUGGGGAGCGAACAGGAUUAGAUACCCUGGUAGUCC
rnacentral:rRNA from 1 species